CCUACGGGAGGCUGCAGUAGGGAAUCUUCCACAAUGGGCGAAAGCCUGAUGGAGCAACGCCGCGUGGGUGAAGAAGGUCCUCGGAUCGUAAAACCCUGUUGUUAGAGAAGUAAGUCCGUGCGAGUAACUGUUCCCGCUUCGACGGUAUCUAUCCAGACAGCCACGGCUAAUUACGUGCCAGCAGCCGCGGUAAUACGUAGGUGGCAAGAGUUAUCCGGUUUUAUUGGGCGUAAAGGGAACGUGGGCGGGCUUUUAAGUCUGAUGUGAAAGCCGUCGGCUUAACCGGAGUAGUGCAUUUGAAACUGGAAGACUUGAGUGCAGAAGAGGGAGGUGGAACUCGAGGUGUAGCGGUGAAAUGCGUAGAUA
rnacentral:rRNA from 1 species